rnacentral:rRNA from 1 species
GCGGCGUGCUUAACACAUGCAAGUCGAACGGUGAACACGGAGCUUGCUCUGUGGGAUCAGUGGCGAACGGGUGAGUAACACGUGAGCAACCUGCCCCUGACUCUGGGAUAAGCGCUGGAAACGGCGUCUAAUACUGGAUAUGUGACGUGACCGCAUGGUCUGCGUUUGGAAAGAUUUUUCGGUUGGGGAGGGGCUCGCGGCCUAUCAGCUUGUUGGUGAGGUAAUGGCUCACCAAGGCGUCGACGGGUAGCCGGCCUGAGAGGGUGACCGGCCACACUGGGACUGAGACACGGCCCAGACUCCUACGGGAGGCAGCAGUGGGGAAUAUUGCACAAUGGGCGAAAGCCUGAUGCAGCAACGCCGCGUGAGGGAUGACGGCCUUCGGGUUGUAAACCUCUUUUAGCAGGGAAGAAGCGAAAGUGACGGUACCUGCAGAAAAAGCGCCGGCUAACUACGUGCCAGCAGCCGCGGUAAUACGUAGGGCGCAAGCGUUAUCCGGAAUUAUUGGGCGUAAAGAGCUCGUAGGCGGUUUGUCGCGUCUGCUGUGAAAUCCCGAGGCUCAACCUCGGGCCUGCAGUGGGUACGGGCAGACUAGAGUGCGGUAGGGGAGAUUGGAAUUCCUGGUGUAGCGGUGGAAUGCGCAGAUAUCAGGAGGAACACCGAUGGCGAAGGCAGAUCUCUGGGCCGUAACUGACGCUGAGGAGCGAAAGGGUGGGGAGCAAACAGGCUUAGAUACCCUGGUAGUCCACCCCGUAAACGUUGGGAACUAGUUGUGGGGUCCAUUCCACGGAUUCCGUGACGCAGCUAACGCAUUAAGUUCCCCGCCUGGGGAGUACGGCCGCAAGGCUAAAACUCAAAGGAAUUGACGGGGACCCGCACAAGCGGCGGAGCAUGCGGAUUAAUUCGAUGCAACGCGAAGAACCUUAC